CACAGCGGUUAUAAAAUCUGUUACUUUCUGUGCUUGGAUUGGAAAUGGCGAUGAAAUCAACAAGUGUCAUUGCAAUUGCUGUGGUGCUGCUGGUUCUCUUGGGGGGUGCGAUGCAAGCUGAAGCUGCUGGACAGCGGGCGCUCCUCCAGCGAGUUUGCCCAGCUGUGUGCCAGUACACUCGAGUGGUUUGCGGAGGCGUUCUGAAUAGGAAUGCAUGCUUUAACUCUUGCAAUCUCCCGCGAGGAUGCCGACCAGUGUGAUCUGAUCCACAGUCCCACGUUAUCCCAUCAAUAAAGAGCUAUCUUGUUUGUUAUGGUACCA